UACGUAGGGGGCAAGCGUUAUCCGGAUUUACUGGGUGUAAAGGGAGCGUAGGCGGCCAUGUAAGUCAGAAGUGAAAGCCCGGGGCUCAACCCCGGGACUGCUUUUGAGACUGUGUGGCUGGAGUGUCGGAGGGGUAAGUGGAAUUCCUAGUGUAGCGGUGAAAUGCGUAGAUAUUAGGAGGAACACCAGUGGCGAAGGCGGCUUACUGGACGAUCACUGACGCUGAGGCUCGAAAGCGUGGAGAGCAAACAGG
rnacentral:rRNA from 1 species